UGGCUCAGAACGAACGCUGGCGGCGUGCUUAACACAUGCAAGUCGAGUGCGCGGUUGUAGCAAUACAACUGGCGCACGGCGCACGGGUGCGUAACACGUGGGUAAUCUGCCCUCUGAUGGGGAAUAACCCGCCGAAAGGCGGGCUAAUUCCGCAUAAUAUUCCGAGAACUUCGGUUUUUGGACUGAAAGGCGUAAGUCGUCGGAGGAGGAGCCCGCGCCCGAUUAGCUAGUUGGUAGGGUAAUGGCCUACCAAGGCUUUGAUCGGUAGCUGGUCUGAGAGGAUGGCCAGCCACACUGGAACUGAGACAGAGUCCAGACUCUACGUGUUGGCAGCAGGGAAUCUUUCU
rnacentral:rRNA from 1 species